rnacentral:rRNA from 1 species
AUUGAACGCUGGCGGCAUGCCUAACACAUGCAAGUCGAGCGGAUGAAGGGAGCUUGCUCCUGGAUUCAGCGGCGGACGGGUGAGUAAUGCCUAGGAAUCUGCCUGGUAGUGGGGGAUAACGUCCGGAAACGGGCGCUAAUACCGCAUACGUCCUGAGGGAGAAAGUGGGUGAUCUUCGGACCUCACGCUAUCAGAUGAGCCUAGGUCGGAUUAGCUAGGUGGUGGGGUAAAGGCCUACCAAGGCGACGAUCCGUAACUGGUCUGAGAGGAUGAUCAGUCACACUGGAACUGGGACACGGUCCAGACUCCUAAGGGAGGCAGCAGUGGGGAAUAUUGGACAAUGGGCGAAAGCAUGAUCCAGCCAUGCCGCGUGUGUGAAGAAGGUCUUCGGAUUGUAAAGCACUUUAAGUUGGGAGGAAGGGCAGUAAGUUAAUACCUUGCUGUUUUGACGUUACCAACAGAAUAAGCACCGGCUAACUUCGUG